UAUGAACGACUCUUCUGAAUAAAAGUGGAGACAGAACUAAGGGAGUGGAAAGGUAUAAAAUGUAUUUAAACCACAGCAAUUGUUCUCAAUUCUCAACAGCAGUUCUCAAUGAUGUAUUGAUUAAUUAUUAUCACAAAACGACUCAACAUCUCACCCGUCAUUGCCAGGGACAAUGGUCUCUUUGACAACUCUUGUAUUUUAUUUAAGAUACACAAUAUCUCCUGUAUUCAGGGUAUUUAAACAUAAUGAUGUAUAGCUCUGCUUUUCUCCAGAAAUACAUGCAGGAGCUAAAAGGUACUGUUGGGGAAAUAAAGAUGAUGUGCAGUUCAAAACAAAAGCCUGACACACUGCAGACCUCAUCAUCAUCUCAGGACAAAAUUAAGAACCAUGCACUGCUCAAGUCAUCAAUUUGUGAGAGGGGUGAGAAUCAAGAGAAAUCAGUUUGAAAGGAUCAACACCCAAUAUUUUAACUUACAAGCAAGCUUCUCCUUGUUACAUUUGGGUGAGAAACUCUUGCUACCCACUCUCUAAAUGGGAGUAAGGCACCCAAUGCAGAGAACACCAAGGAGGCACUUAAAGCUCACAAAGUGUCCGUCUUAAUAGACGUGAUCGAGAACUUGCAAAUGCCUUGGUGGAAGAGUGGGGUAACAGCUCACAGCGAGAACUGACAAAUCUAGUGCAGUCCAUGAAGAUGAGAUGCACUGUACUACUUAAAGCAGCUGGUGGCCACCACAUACUGACUAAUACUUUUUAUAACCCCCUCCCCCCUUUGUUCAGGACUCAUUAUUCCACUUCUGUUCAUCAAAUGUCUGUGAAACUUGUUCAGUUUAUGUCUCAUUUGUUGAAUGUUUUUA